rnacentral:sRNA from 1 species
AGCUGCUUGCUGGGCUAUGCGUGUGCAGCCGCAGCGUGAGUCACAUCUUCUAUCACAUCUCCAUCUGUGUGCUUUGUGGCGCAGGAGGACCCCAAGGGCACUCCAGGAAGGCAGGAUUGUGCAGAGACGACGGCACCCAGUCCGAGCUGUGCCUUCUGUCGCAGGCUCCUUGAAUGGAAGCAAAAAGUGGAGAAAAAGGGCCACAGAAGGAUCAACUGUGGAAGAUUUUCAAUUGUCCUUCAUGAAAAGGCACCACACUCAGAUUCAACUCCCAAUUCUGAUACAGGACACAGUUUCUGUUCUGAUUCUGGCACUGAAAUGCAGAGUAACAAAUGUCAGGACUGUGGCACUAAGAUUCCUGCCUCCCAAAGAGCCUGCAGGAAAGAACCAACUAAAGAAUUUCAUUAUAGGUACAACACUCCAGGACAGAAUUACUCAAAUCAUAGCAAAAGAGGUGCCUUUGUCCAGCCCCAUUCUUUAGAUGAAAGUAAAAACUCUUCACCCUGUAAGUACAUCUCCUGCAUGACCCCAUCCAUAUCAACAACCUAAUGUCCCAGGUAUGGGACAUUCACAUGACACUGGCCACUGCUUCCAUCUGG